rnacentral:RNase_P_RNA from 1 species
AUACGGCGGCGGGACAGUUCGCAAGAGCUGCCUGAGGAAAGUCCGGGCUUCACAGAGGCAUAGCAACUGCUAACGGCAGCCGGGGGCGACCCCAGGGAUAGUGCAACAGAAAGAAACCGCCGUGCUUUGCACGGUAAGGAUGGAAAGGCGAGGUAAGAGCUCACCAGCGCACUGGCGACUUUGCGGCUAUGUAAACCCUGCUUGAAGCAACAUCCGUAUGGGACAUUAUGCGGAGCCUCGCGCGUCCCGGUGAUGGCGUGAGCCUUACGGCAACGUAAGGCCAAGAUAGAUCGUCGUUUGAUACAGAACCCGGCUUACGGUCCAGUC